CCUACGGGAGGCAGCAGUGGGGAAUAUUGCGCAAUGGGCGAAAGCCUGACGCAGCAACGCCGCGUGAGGGAUGAAGGUCUUCGGAUCGUAAACCUCUGUCAGCAGGGAAGAACGGUCACUGUGCUAAUCAGCAGUGAAUUAACGGUAACUGCAAAGGAAGCACCGGCUAACUCCGUGCCAGCAGCCGCGGUAAUGCAGAGGGUGCGAGCGUUAAUCGGAAUUACGGGGCGUAAAGCGCGCGUAGGAGGUAGGUCAAGUCAAGGGUGAAAUCCCCGCGCUCAACGUGGGAACUGCCUUUGAAACUGUCAAACUGGAGUGUGUGAGAGGAUAGUGGAAUUCCAGGUGUAGGAGUGAAAUCCGUAGAUAUCUGGAGGAACAUCAGUGGCGAAGGCGACUAUCUGGCACAUAACUGACGCUGAGGAGCGAAAGCGUGGGUAGCAAACAGGAUUAGAUACCCGGGUAGUC
rnacentral:rRNA from 1 species